rnacentral:misc_RNA from 1 species
AAAGCCAUCACCACUAUAGGGUUAUGGAUAUCUUAGCUUUCCCGCUUAUUUGCCCAGACUGGAAUGCUGAUGAAGAGAUGUUGCUCCUUGAGGGAAUUGAGAUGUAUGGCAUGGGUAAUUGGGCUGAAGUAGGUGAGCAUGUCGGAACAAAGACAAAAGAAGCCUGCAUUGACCAUUUUAAGGAUGCGUACUUAAAGUCACCUUACUUUCCUCUACCAGAUAUGACUCACGUCAUGAGGAAAAACAGAAUGGAACUCCUUGCCAUGGCUAAAGGGAAUUUCACUGAUAAGAAAGGACUCUCUUCACUUGGUGAUGUUGCUCCUAAAGAUGAAUCGUUCUCUCCGUCUCGAAUCAAAGUUGAAGACACUCAUAAAAUUGGUCCAUCAGGACGUUUAACUUCUGUAUCCAAUGCGG